rnacentral:rRNA from 1 species
AGUGAACGCUGGCGGUAGGCCUAACACAUGCAAGUCGAACGGCAGCACAGUAAGAGCUUGCUCUUACGGGUGGCGAGUGGCGGACGGGUGAGGAAUACAUCGGAAUCUACUUUUUCGUGGGGGAUAACGUAGGGAAACUUACGCUAAUAUCGCAUACGACCUACGGGUGAAAGCAGGGGAUCUUCGGACCUUGCGCGAUUGAAUGAGCCGAUGUCGGAUUAGCUAGUUGGGGGGGUAAAGGCCCACCAAGGCGACGAUCCGUAGCUGGUCUGGGAGGAUGGUCGGCCACACUGGAAGUGAGACACGGUCCAGACUCCUACGGGAGGCAGCAGAGGGGAAUAUUGGACAGUGGUCGCAAGCCUGAUCCAACCAUACCGCGUGGGUGAAGAAGGCCUUCGGGUUGUAAAGCCCUUUUGUGGGGAAAGAAAAGCAGCAGGUUAAUACCCCGCUGUUCUGACGGUACCCAAAGAAUAAGCACCGGCUAACUUCGUG